UACGUAGGUGGCAAGCGUUAUCCGGAAUUACUGGGCGUAAAGCGCACGCAGGUGGCUAUCUAAGAUUGACGUGAAAGCUUCUGGCUUAACUGGAAGAGGUCGUUGAUGACUGGAUGGCUUGAGACGAGGAGAGGGGUGCAGAAUUCCCGGUGUAGUGGUGGAAUGCGUAGAGAUCGGGUGGAAUACCAGUGGCGAAAGCGGCACCCUGGCCUUAGGCUGACGCUCAGGUGCGAAAGAGUGGGGAGCAAACGGG
rnacentral:rRNA from 1 species